rnacentral:tRNA from 1 species
GCGCCCUUGGCUCAGCUGGAUAGAGCGUUUGGCUACGAACCAGAAGGUCGGGGGUUCGAAUCCCUCAGGGCGCGCCA